GGAAAGAGAGAGGCAUGUCUGACCUUAGGCUCACACCUAGCGAAAGGCAUAAUGUCAGCCAUAUAGUUAGUUCAGCCUUGCAUCCCACACCAUGCCAGAGUGGAAGGCAAGAGAGAUCUUGUAUAAAGGGGCUUCUUGUUGGCUUCCUGAUCUCUAUCACAGAGACACAGAGAAGAGUCGAGGCCAGCUAUGAGCACGUGGAGAGAGAGGAGGAGGGCAUUGCGGAGAGGGAGGAAGGGGCGAGAAGUGGCGAGAAAUUCACCUACAUCAGUCAAAGUCCUCCCUUGAGGAUCGCCACGUGGAAGCUCUGGGGAUUUCACAAGCAGCACAGAGAACUCCAGAUGAACUGAUGAUCCUUUUUUCCUAAUCCAGCAGUCAGGAGACAGGAAAGGGGCACUGCUGUGGGCAUGAGUACAAAGUUCU
rnacentral:lncRNA from 1 species